rnacentral:rRNA from 1 species
GAAUAUUGCGCAAUGGUCGAAAGACUGACGCAGCGACGCCGCGUGUGGGAGGAAGCCCCUCGGGGUGUAAACCACUGUCGGGGGGGACGAACCUCGGACGGGCGAAUAGCCCGGACGGCUGACGGUACCCCCAAAGGCAGCACCGGCUAACUCCGUGCCAGCAGCCGCGGUAAGACGGAGGGUGCAAGCGUUGUUCGGAAUUACUGGGCGUAAAGCGCGGGCAGGUGGCCUUUUAAGUCCUUUGUGAAAUCCCGGGGCUCAACUCCGGAUGUGCAUAGGAUACUGGAAGGCUAGAGACUGGUAGAGGCGAGCGGAAUUCCUGGUGUAGCGGUGGAAUGCGUAGAUAUCAGGAAGAACACCGGUGGCGAAGGCGGCUCGCUGGGCCAGUUCUGACACUCAUCCGCGAAAGCGUGGGGAGCAAACAGG